rnacentral:rRNA from 1 species
AACGAACGCUGGCGGCAGGCCUAACACAUGCAAGUCGAGCGAGAUCUUCGGGUCUAGCGGCGGACGGGUGAGUAACGCGUGGGAAUAUGCCCUUUGGUGCGGAAUAGCCUCGGGAAACUGGGAGUAAUACCGCAUGUGCCCUUCGGGGGAAAGAUUUAUCGCCAAAGGAUUAGCCCGCGUUGGAUUAGGUAGUUGAUGGGGUAAUGGCCUACCAAGCCUACGAUCCAUAGCUGGUUUGAGAGGAUGAUCAGCCACACUGGGACUGAGACACGGCCCAGACUCCUACGGGAGGCAGCAGUGGGGAAUCUUAGACAAUGGGGGAAACCCUGAUCUAGCCAUGCCGCGUGAGCGAUGAAGGCCUUAGGGUUGUAAAGCUCUUUCAGUAGGGAAGAUAAUGACGGUACCUACAGAAGAAGCCCCGGCUAACUUCGUGCCAGCAGCCGCAGUAAUAC